UACGGGGGGUGCGAGCGUUGUCCGGAAUCACUGGGCGUAAAGGGUGCGUAGGUGGCGAGGUAAGUCGGAUGUGAAAGCUCGGAGCUCAACUCCGAAAUGGCAUUGGAAACUACCUUGCUAGCGAGGGGUUGGAGGGGGGACGUGAAUGCUUGGUGUAGCAGUGAAAUGCGUAGAUAUCAAGCGGAACACCAGUGGCGAAGGCGAGUCCCUGGACAACUCCUGACACUGAGGAGCGAAAGCCGUGGGUAGCAAACAGG
rnacentral:rRNA from 1 species